rnacentral:rRNA from 1 species
GGGGGGGGGGGGGGGGGGGGGGGGGGGGGGGGGGGCGGGGGGGGAGGGCCUGCGUGCGGUGUGCGCGCGGGGCGAACGGGGGAGUGAGACGUGGGGGCGCUGCCCUUCAGUUCGGGAUGGGCCUGGGACAAUGGGGCUCAUACCGGAGAGGCGCCCUUUUUCGUGUGAUGGGUGGUGAGUGUUUUCGGUGUAGGAUGAGCGCGCGGCCUUGCCGCUUUUUGGUGGGGGCAUGGCCUACCCAGGCGGCGCCGGGUAGCCGGCCUGCGAGGGUGGACGGCCACAUUGGGACUGAGAGACGGCCCAGACUCCUACGGGAGGCAGCAGUGGGGAAUAUUGCACAAUGGGCGCAAGCCUGAUGCAGCGACGCCGCGUGGGGGAUGACGGCCUUCGGGUUGUAAACUCCUUUCGCUAGGGACGAAGCUUUUUGUGACGGUACCUAGAGAAGAAGCACCGGCUAACUACGUG